AACGAACGCUGGCGGCAGGCCUAACACAUGCAAGUCGAGCGCCCCGCAAGGGGAGCGGCGGACGGGUGAGUAACGCGUGGGAACGUACCCUUUGCUACGGAAUAGCCUCGGGAAACUGGGAGUAAUACCGUAUGUGCCCUUCGGGGGAAAGAUUUAUCGGCAAAGGAUCGGCCCGCGUUGGAUUAGGUAGUUGGUAGGGUAAUGGCCUACCAAGCCGACGAUCCAUAGCUGGUUUGAGAGGAUGAUCAGCCACACUGGGACUGAGACACGGCCCAGACUCCUACGGGAGGCAGCAGUGGGGAAUCUUAGACAAUGGGCGCAAGCCUGAUCUAGCCAUGCCGCGUGAGCGAUGAAGGCCUUAGGGUUGUAAAGCUCUUUCAGUGGGGAAGAUAAUGACUGUACCCACAGAAGAAGCCCGGCUAACUCCGUG
rnacentral:rRNA from 1 species